UAUUUUCUUCCAAGGUGUUGUACCUUAGACCAAACAAAACACUUCUUCAGUCUCCUGAUGAUAUCAUUGAGAAGUGUAUAAACACCUCCGACAAUGAAACAGAACACAAUGAAAGCAAACAUUGUAUUUAUGAAGAUUCUCAUUAUGAAAUGGAACACAGUGAUUUUGAAAAGCAACUCCAAGAAACAUCUGUUUUCCAAAUGACAAACAAU